AUACAUAUUAGACCAUAAACACUAAUUUAGUAAUACAUGACCCUUUCAAUCCUAUUACAGUAAAGGACUUUUCUAUUAUAUAUAAAUGAGAAGUUGGUCGACCAAGGGUAUAUUUGUCAUUAUACCCUUUCAUUUUAUUAUUUUAAUAUUAUUUUCUAUUAAUAUAGAAAUGAGUACAUAUCUACACUAUUCUAGAAAAGUUACUUUCCUUUCCUUGCAUCCAUCAAAACCCAACACCCUAUACUUUUCCGUCGCUUUCAUCUCCUUUGCUCAGCCACUUUAUCUCCUUUACUCUUCUGACUCGCUCUCUGUUGUGAUAGCUGUGUAUUCGCGCGUUUUAGUAGCAAAGAUCACUAUGUGGUCAUCCCAUCAUACUUUAACUCUUUUCAACUAAAAGGUAAUCUAUUCUAUUCAGAAUUGGUUAUGAAAUUUUAUAUCUUAAUUUUUAGUGUACAUGCAUCUGAUUUUCUUUGUUGUGAGUGCUUUAUGGGAAUAUUUGGGGUUGUUUUACUUUAAUUUUCUCGAUAUAAUCAUAUAUUUUCCAUGGUGCACUAAUUCGAUAAAGUUAAAACAGUAAUGAUUUUAUAUUUUAGAAGAAUUUUUAGGGAUAAAAUUACGCGGUUGAAUGUGCACAGAUGGAAUCUUAUAUUCAUGCAAAUUACCUUUUUCCUUUGCCAGCAAAUACAUAGAAAAAGACCACUAUUGUUAUCGGCAAAGAACUCCAAGUUCUACCCUAAACUCUUCAAACUCACGCCUAAUUCUCUAACUACAAAAGUCAAAUAAGAUCGGAAAAUAUAAAAACAGUAAGAUUUGGAAAAAAAUUAAAAAAGGAGCAGACGUGAAAGUAGCAAUACCCAGUUGAGAAAAUGGAGAGAAAUGGAAAAAGAAUUGUUUGAGAGGUCUGGGGAGAACUUGAACAAGUAUAACGAAAAAAAAGAAGGUAAAACAAAUAAACAAUCACUCUUUUUACAAACUGGGAAAAAUAUUUGGGAAAAAAUUGAAAGAAAAGUAUACUAAUUAGGAGGUGAAAGAGAUAUCUUCUAGAAUUGUGUAGUGUUAGCGUUGAAAAAAGUCAUCUCGUCCAGUGGCGAAGCCACAUGGUCACAAGGGUGGUCAAGUGACCACCCUUCGUCGAAAAAUUGCACUGUGUACAUAGGUAAAA